GUGAUAUUUUUAGUUUCGCCCAAGAAGAAGAAUCAGCGGGGUUUUCUGAAAUUCGGCACUGACAGCAAACAACCAAAAGAAUGUUGGGACACAUGAAGACACUCGUUGCGUACAGUCUCUGUUUAAGAGUAUUAUAUAUCUAUGUGCCAUCAGAGCCAUGGUGCUAUGUCUGAGGCCUUCCACCUGUAAUCAAAUUCAAAUUUGGCAACCGAUAGUUGCAGACGAAUUUACCUGGCUUUUUAUUAGUAGUCACGUGUUUGAUACUAACAGCACAAUUGAAAAUGGUUAUGUUUUUUACUUCAAAAAAUGGAUUUCUAUAAAAAAAAUCCUUAAAGGGACCACAGAAAAGCCAUUUGAGACAAAUAAGGCUUUUGGAGGUAGGUGACAGUGAUCUAAAGAGACAGGCCGUUGAACUUCAGAAGUCUUUGGAGUCAGAGGAUGCUGGACUGGAAGCCCAGCGAAUUUAUCUGGAACUCUAAUAACACCAAUGAACCCAGGAACCAACCAAAAGACCAGUGAGAAAAUGAAGCAAGUGAACCGUUACUCGAUAUCAGUUGAAUCAGGCAUCAACUCUGGAUACAGAAAUUACAGCAGAAACCGAGAAAUGUCGUCGUCAAAUCGAUCCAUCGCUUUUGGAAGGACGUGUGUCGGUAUCAAUUUCGUAGCAAAUCGAAAAUCUUAUUUUGACAUUUCUUACGAGUAUCAGCCCAUCAGGUUUAACACAUCGACCAGUUUACCAGCGCACAGGAAUUUCUUUCAACGCAACUCUUUGGAUGGCCGUCCACGUUGGAACUCUUCCACUCACACUGGCAACCGCGACACCCUCUACUCUUUUCCAGAAAGAUUGAAAUCCAUUUCAAAUAAAUCACCGCUCUUGGCCAAAGAAAAGCGUUUAGAACCGCCACGACCCAUCCGAUCGACAUAUCUCGGUUACACCAAUGCCGGAAAUGUGUCUGGCGCUGGAUCGGAAUUUUUCGGCCGACCUCCUGCCGGUUUGCCGAACCCAAAGUCCAACAACAACUCUGUGGCCAACUGUUUGAAUUGGGAUUUAAUGGCGCCUGCUAAAUUAGACAUUCAACAACGGACGUUAAAUGCAACUUUACAUCAAGUCAGUCAAAUUUGACAUUGGCAAGUCCUUGAUGUGUCUAUAACGCCUCUGGCACGGCCUUUUCCUGCCUAAAAUACCAUUUUGCUUGCGCUGCCGGAAAGUGGAAACGUGAUGAAGCAAAAUUGUUUCAAACUUUUACCGUUCAAGACUCGUCCCCCCACAUUUUAAACGUUUCCGGUAUGACAGCAACGAAAAUUGUAACAGUAUUCACCCUUUGUUUAUUUUAAAAAUUUAUUUCUCAUUGAUGUCAAGUGUUCUAUUAAUAUAUUUUUCCAUAACUGUGGAUUUUUUAAAAAGUGAA
rnacentral:misc_RNA from 1 species